UUAUAUUGUUCAAGUGAGAGUGUGGUUAGAUCGGCCAGAUAAGAUGUGUUGUUUUACGAUGUAAUGCGGUCAGUUGAUCUAUGAAGCGUCGAGAGAUGCAACCGUGGUAGCUGUGAAAGGUUCUGAAGAGUGUCGCCGAGAAGUGUGAUCAACGACUGCAAAGGGGAACGACUCGACAGCAGUACAGCCUACGUGAAGAGACUCGUGAAGCCGCGGGGCACGUACUCCCGGACAAUGCCGAUCGUAUGGCAUCAGUGGUUGUGGCAGCGUGGCUACUUCUAAUUAUCGCAUUGAACUCUGCGCAGGAUACAGCUAAGAAGAGGCUCGGGCCGCAUCCUAGGCCCUCGCGACCAGCCUCAGCUGAUCCACGAGCUUGGAACAGUCCAAGGCUCUCUCCCAAAGCUCGUUGAUGUGAU
rnacentral:lncRNA from 1 species